rnacentral:tRNA from 1 species
ACCGAAAUAGCUCAGUUGGGAGAGCUUUAGACUAUAGAUCUAAAGUCUCUGGUUUGAACCGGGGUUACGGCA